rnacentral:tRNA from 1 species
GGAUGUAGCUCAGUGGUAGAGUGAUAACUUAGCAUGCACUAAGGUUCUGGGUUCAAUCCCCAGCACUGCA